CACCAUUGUCAGGGCUAUGUGAGGUAAAGGUUAAAUUCUUCAAAGAGGAAGAGGAAAAUCUGGUUGCAUAUACGCAACAGUCUACCAUCACAAGAUCUUGUAAUGCUGGACAGCCAGAAAAGAGAUUCUCAAUGAAGAGGUCACUGAUGGAAACAUAAUUGAGGCAGAGUAUUUUUAGAUGGGACGAUAUGAAGGAAGAAUGGUCUAGAUUAGAAUAUUCAAAAUGCUUCUCUUGGAUAUUAAUCUCACGGACAUUGCUCCUCAAAGCAUAGCCAAACCACAGGUUAGCUCUGUCAUGGUUCAAGGAAACUCUACCAUAUGAGUUACACAAGAGAAGGCUAUCUAGAGGCACGCAACCACGGCGCAGUACUAAAUUGUCCAUGAAAUUCACAUAUGCCGCCUCGCUGGUGAAUUCAGAUCCUUUGAUGUUGAGGCACUGCAAAGAUUUCCAAAUAUGGCGCCACCUACUGGACAGCACGCAUGUCUGUACAGCCUCCCUUGCAGUCAUGAAAGAGAGGAUAUGUUGGAGCAACUCAUCAGGGAGGCUGCUGAUAAAGUCAUAGGUGCUGGCCUCUAGUGCUGUUGGUCUCAUACACUUGUUGGACAUUCUCAUCAGUCUCAGAGACAUGCACUCAAACACGUGGUGAACAAUAGCCCUACACAAACCAGAAAUAUACAUGUUAGUGAAAGUGUAAGCGACUUUGGAAAAUGUAGCUAUUGAAUCCAAUAUAGUAAUGAUUGCUACGCGAAUAUAACAGACAUAAUGGACAAAACCAUGAGGUAAUCAUUUUUUUUUUCAGAGAAGAAUCCAUUGGAUUCCCAGUUACUAUUUGACAAAACCAGUAUCCUUAGUCUAGGAUAUAUCAUGGGACUUAUGGCACCUCAACUAAAUCCCACAAGGUAGACCAACAAGGGAGCCAUCUUGUCUGUGCCUGGUUUCGAUAAGUAAUAGGAUCACAUUUCUUUCCUGUCACAACUCGUAACCCUUCUCAAUCUCUACAACCAAUUUCCAACUCUACAACCAUUUAUUUCGAUAAGUAAAGCAUGAUUAAAUUUAUCACAGAAAGACACCAAUUUCCUAGACCCGUUUCACAAGACACUACUUUUCUUGUGCUAACACCCUGAAAGGUAGACUAGUAAGUACUGUAUCAGGCUCAACCUCACAUGAAGUUUUUUUUGAGUGAAGUGCACCAGCGGUCUCUAAACUUGUGCGGAUGUGUCAUCUAGAUCUCUGAACUCUCAAAAUGCAUUUUUAGAUUCCCGAACUUGUUUUGCGUAUCAUAUAGGUCCCCGAAGGCAGGCAUGGCUGCAGGUUGCCACGCUCCUACACCUUGCCACGUGAAUAGGGCCAUGCACUGCAUGCAUCUAUCCACACGUGCUACCGAGCGAAGGCUGCGGAGAGUCGCGUGGUGCCAGCGGAGGGUGCCGGUUGCCGCUCAUGGCGGCGCCGCUAGGAGCUCGCGCAGGCGGACAUAAGCGGACUCGGCUGCGGCCGACGCGGAGGUGGCUCCGCACUGCAUUGGUUGGCGGAGGCCAGCAAGUAGCUGCGGUGGUCUGGCCACCGUGUCGCGUGGAGGGGUUUGCCGUGUCACACCUGGGCGGGGAGGCGACGUAGCUGCGCGCGACCGGCGGAGUCGCACGUGGCGGCGGCGGCGGCGAGCCGUACGAGGUAGCAACGUCGACAGCAGAGGAGUCACGCGUGGCCACGGAAGCGACAGAGCCGCGCGCGGACGCGGAGGUGACGCCAUGGUCCACGCGGAGGUGGUCCCUCGACGGCGCUUGCGGCGAGCCGGAGCUCAAGCUGAGGCGGAACAGCCUCACGCUGAAGGACGCAGGGCCACCAGGGUCCCAGUUAACCGGCCUUGGCCGUGGCGAGAGGUGAGAGUGGAGGUCGCGGAGCGGCAUGCGGGUUAUUCAGCUGAAGCCAGCGGAGUGCUUGGCGGAGCUAGCCGCCAUGCACAUAGCGUGCGCCCAUGCAUGCUACAUAUGCAUGCAGCAUGGGAAUCCAAUGCAUGCCGCCGUGCAUGAAACCAUAACGGUAUAACUAUGCGGGCUAAUUGAACAGAAGCGGCGUCGCUUGCGGCGCGGAGGCGGAGGCGGCGGAGCUCGACGCGGAGGGCCGGCUGAGGCUGCCUGGGCCGAGGUGGGUGCGGCAUCGCCCGCAGCGAGGAGGCUAGUGUGGCGCUGCUGACGGAGCCUACACACGUAGGCCGGCGCGCGCAUGCCGGUGAGCGGAGGCGGUGGAGCUCGACGCGGAGGUAGAGAGGAGGAAAUAUAGUUUUUAAUUUUAUUUUUAUACAUAUGACUGACAUGUGGGGUCCUCACUGACACGUAGGCGUCACCGUGCGUAAAAACAUGACACGUCAUCGGAUAGACCUAUAUGACAUGCAAGACAAGUUCGGAGACCUAAAAAAGCAUUUUGAGAGUUCAGGGACCUAGAUGAUACACCCACACAAGUUUAGGAACCACCGGUACACUUCACUCUUUUUUUUCCAAGAACACAUAUCACGAUACAGCCGCCGCACAAAGAACAAAAUUUUACUCCAGUACAUAACAUUGCCCCCACCCCACCCAAAAAGAAUCCCCAAUAACAGUAGACCUCACAAGUUCUAUCUUGAAUGCAGCAGUAAAGCAUUGUUAAUCCAUUUUCAGCCAAGAUGAUGCUGGUGACCACCAGUAAAUACAAAAAACGUAUUUCACCUGAUUCACUCAACCAACCCUAACGAGGAGAAAACUUAGGAUGCCAAGAAGCUGCUCUGCUACACAAAACCUGGAGAUGGAUUCUAAUAACUCGAGUGGACGUCCACCCGUUUAUUGCAUGUCAUCUAAAUGGUUAUGAAAUUUUUUUAAAAAAAUUGACAAAACUCAAAAUACUAUACGUAUAUUUACAGUUAAAUUUGUUAUUUUUGUUACAACUUGCAGAAGUUGAAUUUGAACUUGCAUGUUUGUGGAGUCAUAUGUUACAUAUAGAUCUAUUUUGUUAAUUUUUUUAAAAAUUUUUCAUAACCACUUAGAUGACAUACAAUAAAUGUCCACUCGAGUUCGAGCUUCCAGUAGAUCGAUGGAGCCGGAAUGAGAAGGAUGAGAAGCACAAGUAGCACGCACCAAGGGUGACUGGAGGCGUGCGCUCCGGCGGCCGCUUCCGCCUACCUCGGCGGCGCUCCGGCGAGGACCAGCCGGGAACCCUACCGCCACGUGGCGGCGCGGCGCAACUGCAGCGGUGAGGCGGGCAGUGUGACCACCAGACUGAAGCUUUGACCGAGUUCUGGAUAAGGACGCGCGCAUGAAUCACUGACAGGUGGACCCCACAUGAGAAACCGGCCCGCAUGUCAGUGAAUGAAGCAACGAAUCAGCUAGAAUGGGCCGCACGUCCAUCGCGAACCCGCCCUAGUCCAACAUAUCAUGGGCCUUGUACGGAAAUCGUAAUUUUUUUCAGGCCCAACCUAUAUGGCCCGUAUAGAGCCCACAGUUCCGUUAUGGCCCAACUUAGAUGGGCCCGCAUGGUUUUAAAUGGCGCGAGCUUAUUUAUUGCUGCAUGGUUUUACUGGUUUACUCAAGCGAAAUUACUCCUAAAAAGUUAUUACAAAUAAAGGAAAGAUCAAGGAAUAAUGUACAGUAAAUUUGCUGAGUAGACAACAGACUAACAGAUUUAGGAGGUCGUAAUGUAUAUAUACAUCUUGCCUUUUGCACAAAAUAAGGCCAAAGACCAAAGUGUCAUUCCCCUUCUGUCAUUUCUAAGUUUGUUCCUUUCCCUAAUUGAUUUCCCUGAUGUAAGCAGAUUAUUAUCGUUAAAUAUUACUUGUCUUCCAUCCGGACUUGUAGCAGCAAUGCCAUCCAUGAAUUAAUGCAUGUGAACAGUCUAGCUCAACUUGUUUGCAUAGUUGCAUGGUGUUGCCCUUUUGAAAAUCGAUGAACCAAUAAUCUCAGAAUUAGCAUGCAUUGCCGACUCGAUCGAUUAUGAUCGACUUAAUCAUGCUGACAAAGUUCAGUUCAGGCACAGUGCAAACGAUCGCGAACGUACUGUCUGAACUCUGAACGUCAGAACUUUGGUUGCCUGGAGUCCUGGACAGUUGUGGAUUUGUGAUGUCAAGAACGAGCUAGAGCUGAGCUAGGCCGAGACUUCUUCCUUUCUCCAAACAUGCUUUGACCUGUUAGAUUCACAUAUAUUUAUAGACAAUCAAGAUCAAACUGAACAAUGAUGUAAAAAGAAUUGGACUUAACUCUAACUGCAGUUUUUGCGACAUAUACAUAUAAAGAGCACUCUCCACGGCCAAGUUUAAUUUUGGGGUGAAAAAUGUCAAAAGAUACAUGACUUGCUUAGACUUCAGUCUUCAAACACAAAACAAAUAACAAGUACCAUGAUGAUGCUGAUGGAUAAAAGUUUCAAGUGGAAGAACAGCAGUAGUAAAAAGGAUUUCCAGGAAGAUUUGGUACUGGGCAGAGCAGUAUGACCCACAGCAACUCUCAUCUUUAACAUAUAAACUACAAACUGAACAUGGGUUGCCGAUCAUGAGGAUCUAAUCACUGAUCAGAGGACCAUGCUCGUACAUCUGCCCGAGCCCAAGUGCCGAACCUACCUACAAGUUAAAAUGGUGUCUGUAAAUGCCUUCACGACUAUAGAAAACCAGUGCUGUAAGGUGAAAACAGCCAUACCUAGUCGAAACGCUUGUACGGUUUGAUAACAAUUUCUGGCAGAGAGUUCGCAUUGGCAAGUAUAGCAUUAACUAUAGCAGGCACCCUUUUGUCGUCCUGCACACAGAUGAUUUUGACCUUCUUAAGACGCUCACAACUGAACGACAGGUCUGGCGUCUCUUCUUGUGGGUAACUCAUCCACUGUUCCCAAGCCAAACCUUCAAUCUGGUGACAAGAACUGAAAACAUAUCAGCAUGGUGAUUAGGAAGCAAAUAAAAACUCCAGUCAGGUAAGAUAUCUUUACCAUUCCAAGAUGCAGAGUGAGUUUCUCUAUGAUUGGUGAGCAACGAAGCAAGUAAAUCAGCGCGCUUAGGUCAACAUCCACAUACCAAUCAUCGACAGACAGUUUUUUUAGGUUAUUGAAUGAUUGGCACCUCCGGAGAUCCCUUUUUAGUACCUCGUUUUGCCUUGAACGAAAAGAAUCAUCCUCAUCCUCAUCCUCAUCCUGCAAUGGCAUAUAGAGAACUAGAGACAUCAGCUAUAGAUCAUGAAAAACAAAAGAAAAUCAUGGCAAAGCUAGAGCACAGAUCAUACAUCGUAUUCUUCAUUUAGCAACUUCAAUUUUGUUACAUUUGACAAACCACUGAGGAUGUUGUAUUUCGUAUCAAAACAUGGGAAGGACAUAUCAUCAAGGCGAAUGUAGGCUUUUGCCACGGAUGAUACAUUCACAAGGCAAGGAGCUAAAAAGGGAAGGCACUCCAGGUGGAGUGAAACAAGGCUCGGGGUAUCUAUCACAAGAUCUUUAUAAUCAUCGUGAACAGAAUCACCAUUGUCAGGGCUAUGUGAGAUAAAGGUUAAAUUCUUCAAAGAGGUGGAAGAAAAUCUGGUUGCAUACACGCAACAAUCUAUCAUCACAAGAUCUUGCAAUGCUGGACAGCCAGAAAAAAGCUUCUAAAUAAAGAGGUCACUGAUGGUAACAUUACGAAGACGCAGUAUUUUCAGAUGGGACAAUAUGAAGGAAGAAUGGUCUAGAUCAAAAUACUCAGAAUAAUGC
rnacentral:lncRNA from 1 species